rnacentral:lncRNA from 1 species
UACAUAUGCAAAUUAAUAUCAAAUUUGCUGACUUCACGGAGGACCAAAUCAACAGACUAGAUUGCCUGGUUCCACUCCACAACCCAUGCAAACCAUGUCAAAAUUAUUUUUCUGAUCAAAUCUUAUAAUGUGUAAAAAUAAGUCCUAUAAUUUCACUUUGAUUAUGCUUGAAAUCCUGCUCUCCACCCCACGAAUGGUCACGCUUAAUUUUUCAUUCCACUGUCAUCAAAAUGCAGCUGUUCUGCCCAAAAUGGGAAAUGUUAGAGUUAAAACCAAGAGAGCUUGUUGAAGUGACUACAAAGACAGUGAUUGCUUUUUUUUUUUUUUUUUCCUCAGAAAGCAGAUUACUUUGUAGUGAGUUUUUCUCUACUAUCUCUCUUCCCAAAAUGGUUAACACGGGCAUUGAUCACGUUAGCGU